rnacentral:misc_RNA from 1 species
AUUUUUUUGUUGUUCAUAGUUGAAGCAGGUGGUUGCAUUUAAAAAACAAGGCGUACAGAAUUACACAGGUGGAUUCAUAUGGUAGAAAAAAAUGGAAAUUGAUGGUUAAUUCAAAAUAGAGUUUUCUGGAAAGCAUUGAUAGUUGGUAAAAUUUGUUGGUUGGUUUAGUUUUCAAUUAACAUAAAAUCAAAUUUAACCAUUCUCCUGUCCUAGUUUCUUCAAUUCAACUUAUUAUUUAAUUCCUAUCAAGCUUGCCCCUUUUGAGCAUAAGCGCUUUCAGGCUUUCAUUUCCCUCUGUUUGUUGGAGGGGCUUGUCUUCCUUGAUCAUUAUUGGAUUUGUUCUGGCUUUAUGAACAACUACAGGUUCUGAUUUUUGGAUCAUUUGACACAAUUAAGUACCUGAUUAUCUGUCAACUUAAUUUAUUUUAUUUUAUUUUUUGCCAGUGCUAGACAAUGGCAAUCAGGCAUUUUGUUUACUCUGUUGUUGGCAUAGAUCGUCUUUCCCCGAAGCUUAUUUACAUUUUACAAGACAUGUACAUACCUGAUGUAUCAGCAGAUUGAGGGGGAAAAAAAAAGCCUCAUUAGUUGUUUAUGAUAAUUGCAUUAUACCCUAUUGUUGUCAGUUGCCUUUAGGACUCAAUUCAUUAAAAACUCGAGCAACAACAAAUGAUGCAACCAUACACAGGAAACAUGCAUGCCUUUCUGAUUCCACUAAUCCCUCCCCCGAUAUUUCUCUAAUUAUUCUUCUUGAUGCGAUCCUCAUACCUUUUAUUUGUAUAAGUCUACUACGGAACCUGGUUCUUCUUAACAGAUGCUGAUGGGCAGACCUCCCUUCAUUUUGCAGUCUGUGUGGGUCCGUAAGACACUUAGCAUUUUGUAUAGCACUGAUUAUUUAUUGACCUUGAUGGCAGAGGUUGUCCAAGGCCAGCUCCAGGGUUCUCCAACAUUACUUGGACCAUGGAUUCUUAGAACUUGAUUCAUUGUCUAGCAGCCAAGCCACCACACCAUAACCUGAUCACAAAAGUAGCAAUCAAACAGCAAGUUGACUGAGAAAUUCAGCUCUACAGAAAUGCUCUCAAGCCAUAUUAACAAUUACCAACAAGGAAUGAUGUUACCGGGAGUUAUUCCUGAUCUAGAUUACCGAUGAUUGCUACACUAAUGCCCUCAAUAAACAAUACAGAUUUAAUUUUUAAUGGAAAGCAAUAGUUAAAAUUCUCCAAUUGAAAUGCAAAUAAUCUAAAUUUUGACUUAGCAUUAGCGUGCAGCCAAGACAUUAUUUAUCUUUGUUGACUGAAAGCCAACAUAGUUGAAGAGUACAGGGAGUGAACGUUCAUAAUCGAAGACACUGAAAUCCAUUUAAAGAACUAGAAGGAACUACCAUAAUUCACUGUCUAUCCCCAAUCACGUACGUGCCUAAGAAAGUGGUUACCAUUUGACAAUUUACAAACCUUUGAUUUUGAAUAACUCGGUGAGAUGAAGCUCAAGCUCGCUAGUUGUCAGCAGGAAACAGAACACGAUCAUGUGUAGCUGUUGAGAUUUUUUGGAGAACUACAUUCUUGACAUGAGCAGCUGCUGUUUCACCA